AUACGUAGGGUGCAAGCGUUAAUCGGAAUUACUGGGCGUAAAGCGUGCGCAGGCGGUUUUGUAAGACAGUGGUGAAAUCCCCGGGCUCAACCUGGGAACUGCCAUUGUGACUGCAAGGCUGGAGUGCGGCCGAGGGGGAUGGAAUUCCGCGUGUAGCAGUGAAAUGCGUUGAUCAGCGGAGGAACACCCACGGCGAAGGCAAUCCCCUGGGCCUGCACUGACGCUCAUGCACGAAAGGGUGGGGAGCAAACAGGGUUAGAAUCCCUGGUAGUCCACGCCCUAAACGAUGUCAACUGGUUGUUGGGGAUUUAUUUUCUCAGUAACGAAGCUAACGCGUGAAGUUGACCGCCUGGGGAGUACGGCCGCAAGGUUAAAACUCAAAUGAAUUGGCGGGG
rnacentral:rRNA from 1 species